GAUGAACGCUGGCGGCGUGCCUAAUACAUGCAAGUCGAGCGAACGGACGAGAAGCUUGCUUCUCUGAUGUUAGCGGCGGACGGGUGAGUAACACGUGGAUAACCUACCUAUAAGACUGGGAUAACUUCGGGAAACCGGAGCUAAUACCGGAUGAUAUUUUGAACCGCAUGGUUCAAAAGUGAAAGACGGUCUUGCUGUCACUUAUAGAUGGAUCCGCGCUGCAUUAGCUAGUUGGUAAGGUAACGGCUUACCAAGGCAACGAUGCAUAGCCGACCUGAGAGGGUGAUCGGCCACACUGGAACUGAGACACGGUCCAGACUCCUACGGGAGGCAGCAGUAGGGAAUCUUCCGCCAUGGGCGAAAGCCUGACGGAGCAACGUCGCGUGAGUGAUGAAGGUCUUCGGAUCGUAAAACUCUGUUAUUAGGGAAGAACAUAUGUGUACGUAACUGUGCACAUCUUGACGGUACCUAAUCAGAAAGCCAGGGCUAACUACGUG
rnacentral:rRNA from 1 species